CGGUGAAUACGUUCCCGGACCUUGUACACACCGCCCGUCAGGCCAUGGAAGCCGGGUGUACCUAAAGUCGAUAACCGCAAGGAGUCGCCUAGGGUAAAACUGGUGACUGGGGCU
rnacentral:rRNA from 1 species